AAGUGCUCUCUCGCCCUGCUUUCCCUCUCCUCUGUCACUGCAGGUGAAGUCUUCUUAUGAAGUGGAUUUGCUCCUUCAUCUUUCAGUACAUGAUGUCAGUCUCAAGCAAUAGCAGGCCUUUUAUUUCCCAGAAGAUACUCAUCACUGUGGGCAAACUAAUGACACAUGUUAAGGAAUUCAGUCUUAUGGAAAUCAUCUAAAGGUUUAGAAAUUAGCCACUGAUGAUCUCUAUCAAGAAGAAAGACUAUGCUAUCCUCUCAUUUGCCUUCUGAACAGCAAGAAUGAAAAUUCCAAAAUCAUAGUGGGUUUUUCAAUAUCCACACAGAAAACUCUCUAUGGAAAGAAUAAUUCAGUGUCUCUGGAUUACUCGUGGAUGUUUGAGUAGCAAUUUCACGAUCAACCUAUUGUUUUACCUCCAACACAACUUAACCCACAUUUCCAAGGAUGAAAAUUAACUUCUUAAGAAAAAACUACUAUACAAUAAGCAAUCAAAAGUCUUGGAAGAAGGCUAGGUGGAAGAUUAAGCUAGUGUCGCUAAGCUGGAGUGGAUCGUCAUAAAUCACACAAAUGAAAAUAAAAGGAACAUUUUUAAAAUGAGAAUGGUAUCUUCGCUGUUAGCAACGUAGAGAUAUAGCUAAUGGAAACUGAAAAUGGGAAGCAUUUGUAUUCACUGUUUAAAAAGUGUGCAUAAACAUAUAUAUAACCAACAAUUGGAAGCCAAUAAUCAUCAGUAUUGAUUAUUAUUAAAGGGUUGUUUAAAUAAAUUUUUGUACAUCAACACAAGAGAAUACAGUGCAACAAAAGGUGAUGAAAUAGUCUGUUUAUCUGAUCCUACCCAAUAAUGAAUGCGAAUGCAUCUUAUUAAUACAUAUAGCAAUGUAACAUGUAUGUUAUAUAGAUAUUGAAAGUGAGUUCCAGAUACGAUAAGGAAAAAGCAAGAUAUAGAGAAAGCAUAUUAUAUGUUUCCAUGUGCAUUUGGAUAUGUAUGUAUUUUAUUGCAAUAUGUAAAAAAAAAGGGUCAAAGACAUAACUGCUCACUUAAAAGCAAACUCCAUUUCACUUUUGCUUCUUUUGACAAAUUUUAACAAACCAUAUCAAUGUUAAACCAGAAGAUAAUUUAGUUAAUGUAGAACAAUGAUUUAAAGAUUUAUAUGACAUAUUUUUGAUAUUCUAGUCAUGAAAAUCAUAAUUACCAUAGAAACAGCUUACUAUAAUGGCUCAUGCAGUAUAAAACUAAAGAAAAGCCAUUUCAUAUUGCAAGCUAUGAAAUAAUUCAUUUGGGAUAAACAACCAAGCAGUACUGCUGGCAGGAUUGCCAGGUAAAACUCUUGUGGUUAUUUGCUGACUCAAUCAAAAGUAAAAGGUUAUAUUAUUCAUUCAAUGUCAGAAAUUAAGAUAUUUGUUUGUGGUCAGAUUUUCUUGCUGUUUAAGUAAAAUACUUUGCUGUUUAAAAUGAAAUUUUACAUAGUAUUCUAGAGUUAUAUAAAUAGAUUGUUACAGAUAUUAAAGUAUAAAAUUUUAGAUGCUAAUGAU
ensembl:lincRNA 1110015O18Rik RIKEN cDNA 1110015O18 gene